GAUGAACGCUAGCGGCAGGCUUAAUACAUGCAAGUCGUGGGGCAGCAGGACUGUUGCAAUACAGUUGCUGGCGACCGGCAAACGGGUGCGGAACACGUACGCAACUUACCCUGAAAUGUGGGAGAGAUCGGGGAAACCCGGAUUGAGACCACGUAAUAUAAUGGAAUGGCCGCCCUUUAUUAGUAUAGCUCCGGGGGUGGGGGAUGGGCGUGCGGCGGAUUAGGCAGUUGGUGGAGUGAACGGCUCACCAGGCCUACGAUCAGUAACUGGUGGUCGGGAACGACCACUACGACGGGAACGGGGACACGGGCCCGGCUACUACGGCAGGCACCAGUAAGGAAUGUUGGGCAACGGAGGCGAAUCUGACCCAGCCAUGCCGAGUGGAGGAUAAAGGCGCUCUGGGUUGUAAACUUCUUUUAUAGGGGAAGAACCCUGUGUAUUCUUAAGCAGUUGACGGUACCAGAGGAAUAAGCACCGGCUAACUCCGUG
rnacentral:rRNA from 1 species